rnacentral:tRNA from 1 species
AGUAGCUCAGUGGUAGAGCGCUUGCCUAGCAAGCGCAAGGCCCUGGGUUCGGUCCCCAGCU